CACCUCUUCGUCGUAGACUCGGCGUCGACAUCAUCUCUUUGUCUGCAGACUCGAUGUCGGCAUCAUCUCUUCGUCUUCAUCACUAAUUAGCCACUCCAUCAUCUUCAUCACUUCGCCAUUCCAUCGUCUUCAUUACUUGAGUUUUUGGGAGCUUCCUCAAGCUUUCUCAAGCUUCCUCGUAACCUUCAAGAUCUUCAGAUUCUCAGUUGUUUGUUGGAUAACAAUAUUAUGAAGCAGCCAAAUUAUCGAUUGUAUGUCAUUCACAAGUUGAAGUCAGUCCGCGUGCUUGAUUUCAAGAAAGUCAGAAACAAGGAGAGAUUGGAGGCUAAGAAUUUAUUUUCAUCUAAGGAAGUUGAAGAAGAGGGAAAGAAGGAAUCUGUGAAGACAUUAAUUUCAGGCGGCCAUUGUUAAUUCCCAAACCCUUGAAGAGGUUGCAAGGUUAGAAUAGGUAUGCUUCGUUUUUUGUCUUCUACAGUCCCUCCCUCCUCAAAAGGAAAAUGGAGGAGAAAAAUCAGAGUUGUAUGAGAACUCGUAGUUAUUGAUUUGAGUGUUUUUUUUCUAUGUGUUUUGUUUGAUGAUUAUUAGGAUGACUUCAUUCUCGGUAGACGAGACUUCAAAUCAGAGUUGUUCCACUCCAGUGUUAGGAAAAAGAAAACCGAUUAAACCACCAUCAUCGAUAU